CUUCAAACACUAAUUACUAAGAUAGAUGUAUGCAAAUAACCUCUAUAAUUUCAUAUACACGUACAAAUUUUACAAAAGAAGCUCACAAAAUUUCUGUAAGUUACUAUAUCUUAUCUCUUCACAUGUCUUCCAGUUUAUCUUAUUUUACUUCAAAACUAGAAUUCAUUUGUUUGUCUUCAUGAAGGGGGGAAUGCUCCAUCCUGGGGUGGAGGUGGCCAUUUGAGCAACCCCCAAGCUCAAGUUCAUCAUACCGUUAUAGCCCCAUCCCCCCAAACCAACACAGUGGGGUUGAAUACGACAUCGUUGGGUGGAGGUGUGUGUUCUCUCAUCAUUCAGGGUCAUCAUACAUACGUAGCAUCAACUCCUGAGAAUAACACAACAACUGG